GACGAACGCUGGCGGCGUGCCUAAUACAUGCAAGUCGAACGCAGUGGGGACGGGUGCGUAACACGUGGGUAACCUGCCAUCAGAGGGGAUAACCCUUGGAAACAGCCGCUAAACCGAUACUGAUGGAUGGACUCGCGGUGCAUUAGCUAGUUGGUGAGGUAACGGCUCACCAAGGCCACGAUGCAUAGCCGACCUGAGAGGGUGAUCGGCCACACUGGAACUGAGACACGGCCCAGACUCCUACGGGAGGCAGCAGUAGGGAAUCUUCGGCAAUGGGAGAAAGUCUGACCGAGCAACGCCGCGUGAGUGAAGAAGGUUUUCGGAUUGUAAAACUCUGUUGUUAGAGAGGCGGUAUCUAACCAGAAAGCCACGGCUAACUACGUGCCAGCAGCCGCGGUAAUUC
rnacentral:rRNA from 1 species